UAAUUGGACCUCUGAGCAGGUGCAAUGAAA
rnacentral:piRNA from 1 species